AGUCAGUGUGUCAUUUCUGUUGGUGAAUUGUUUUUCUUUACAGUGUUUGAUGAGCAUUAGUUUAGUUUUGUGGAAGUCAAGACAACAGUGUUAGAAACGGCACAGGAAGACACAGCCACACUUGUUCUCUUUGUAGAUGAGGAGAAUAAGAUGAAGACUCACAUGCACCAGCUGAUGGAUGUCUCCCGGAAAGAUCUCAAACUCCUGCAAGUGAAGCUGAGAGCCUCCCUGUUUGCCAAAUGUGACCUGGAAGACAAGAUCACGAAGCUGGAUGAGGACUGCGGCACGCUGUGGGCAGCCAAGACCGGGCUGGAGGAGGAGUGUAAGAGGCUGCAGCAGAAGGUGGAGAUCCUGAACAAGCUGUGCCAGCAGAAAGAGAUGGAGCUGCAGAAGUCAGUCUGAGAGAUUUUGCCCAGUGUCUCAUGCUGGCCAUUCCUGUCACUUCUGACUGCCUAGCAGCUUCGAUGUGCAGUGAUCAUAGAGGAAACUUGGGGCCCAGGGUGCUGCUGGCCUCCUGUGAUGGUGACCUCAGGCUGCUCCUGCCUGUCUGCCAUCACCAUCAUCCAGCUAGCAGUUCGGCCCAGUGUCUCUGCCUCUCUAGCCUCAGCUCCACUGCUUGUUUCUUAAAGCCUAGGGAUUUGUUGAGGGCUCAGUUCAGCGUCUUUGGCAUUGUCCUCAAUGUGUGGGUUGAAGGAGGGCAGCACCGGCCUCUGGGGCCCACAUUUUGCUUUCUGGCUGGGACCACAGGCUCCCAUUCACCCAUUUGGCCUUGCUUGUGUGCUUAUCAUGGCAUAGGUCUAGAGGAACAGCUCUUCCCAGACAGCAUGGGGGUGGGGACCCAACAGCUCUGCUGGACAAUCCUGGCUUCCCUCAGGGUAAACUCAUCUCCCACACACAUGCUGUGCUCUUAGCUUGUUCUGUUUGCUGAUUAGACAAUUACAAGGAGAGGUGAGAGAAUAUAAGAACACAAGCAAAUGGCCCAGAGCCUUGAACUUGACUUCCCUUCGAGACCCUGUGCCUGCUGCUGGGUGGGGAAGUGGCCUGUGGGCUGAGCUUGCCCCUGGCAGCUUCCAUUCUCCUAGGAAGUUGAGUCCAGAGAAAUUUGAACAGCAGCAGUGAGACCAGCAGCUGUUGCCUCCAGAUGAGGAGGUGGUGCUCGCCACAGAGGAAGUGAAAGUCUACAAGUGAGUGUGGCGUCCAAGACAGAGGAACUGGGCUGAGUUGCUUUGUUACAUAGAAGAGAUGGGCACAGAAGCACAUGAACAGUCCAAGAAUGGAAUGUAUUUAACUCACACGGGGAGGGGUUCUACAUUAAUAGACAGAAGCUUGUUAACAGCGAAGCUCCUUUGCAGAUGUGUCCUGUGCCCAUUUUUAGGAAAGUGGCCUUCUUCUGUCACACAUCCACACCCACCAGUCUCAGUGUCCUGACAGACCAGGGGCAGCAUUUUGGGUCAUUUCUUGUGGGUAUAAUUUGAGGGGAAAACCUUUUUUUUUUUUUUUAAAUUGGUACCGGGGAUCAAACUCACGACCGCCUGCUUGCAAGGCAGGUGCUUAUGCCCCUGAACUAAAUCACCAGCCCCUGAGGGGAAAACUUUUAUGGGGAAAGUACCCUUAGCCAGAUUAUUUUGAGAAUGUUAUUGCAAGGACAGUUAAGGAAAUUUACAAGUUAUCAACUCAUAAUCUCUAGGCAUUAAAUGAAAAAUCAGGAAACUGAGGUUCACACUGCACUCAUCACAUUAUGAAAUGUUUCUGUAUGAUGAAGUCUUUAAAGGUCAGAAAAGGUCAGACUGUUUCAGAAUUUAUUUGAUUCUAACUGCUAAGUAUUACUUUUAGGCGGAAAUGGAGGAAAAAUUACAAAAAACAGAGCGCUCAUUUAAAACCAGGUAAGGAAUAGAGUGCACUGUGGUGACAGCAUCCAUUAACCCCCACACAGAGAUCAUGGAGGGCUUCAGCCCCGGUGACUCAUCCCUCAACCUUCGUCUUGCCCUGUUCUCUUGCAGCUUGAUACUUAUGAGAAAAAAGCCCAUGAGAACUGGGUAAGAGCCUCCUCCUCGCCUUACCCUCUCCAGCUUUACUCAGCUGCUGUGCUGAGCUGGCCCCUGUGUCUCCACAGCUCAAAGCUUGCAAUGCGGAGUGCCUGAUGGCAGAGGAGAAGCGGCAGGCCACCAACCUGUGGCAGAGGCUAGUAGAGAUGAACCAGAAGCUGGCCAUGCUUCAUGAGGAGCUUGUGAUCAUCAAGCCCAUGUAGGACUGGCCUGGAGUGCAGAAUGCACCCUACAGAGGUUCUGAGUGCGACUAACUGCAGAGAAGUGGUAAUCAGUACGUGCGUUGUGCGUUGUCGCCACAGGUCCCCUGAGCCAGAAUGGCUCCUUUGGCCCAUCCCCUAUGAGCGGCAGUGAGUGCUCCCCGCCCCCAGGCGCAGAGCCCCCCCUCCCCACAGCCACCCUCUGCGAGCCUGAAUUUUGCACACCUCAACAUUCUGAGAGCCAACUUCGGUGAGCCUCUCUGGGGCCUUGCAGCCCAGACUCAGGGACACCGUGCUGCCUUGCCCUGGGCACGGUUCUCUGAGCUCUGGUACAGAGCCCAGGCACUCCCGGCUCAGGUUUUCACUUAGCCCUGGGCCGUGUGUGGGCCCACCUGGAUUGCAGUGCGGGAGCAGAGUCCUGGGUGCCGUCGCCCACCCCGUCACUCCCAACGGCCUCUGGCUGUGGCAUGGUGGAGGCCUGCGGUGUUUUCCUCUCCCUCUCUGCACAGUGUUGGGCGCACUUUCUUCACCACUCACCUCCGGGCCACCAGGGGCUGCUCCC